UACGAAGGGAGCGAGCGUUAUUCGGAAUCACUGGGCUUAAAGCGUGCGUAGGCGGAUUUAUAAGUCAGAAGUGAAAUCCCUGGGCUCAACCCAGGAACUGCUUUUGAGACUGUAAGUCUAGAAUUCGGUAGAGGUUAGUGGAAUGUCCAGUGUAGAGGUGAAAUUCGCAGAUAUUGGACGGAACACCAGUGGCGAAGGCGACUAACUGAGCCGAUAUUGACGCUGAGGUACGAAAGCGUGGGUAGCAAACAGG
rnacentral:rRNA from 1 species